ensembl:lncRNA
GGAAGGGUUCCUGCAGGCCAAUUGGCCGCCACCAGCUGCUAAGAGGGACCCACUGGCUAUGGGGAACUGAUGCUCACUGCUAAAGCUGAUCUCACGCUGUCACUUCCCUACUAAAGCAUGUGGCAAGAGGAAAGGCCUGGAACAGUAGAGAGAAAGAAAAUAGGCUUUCAAGUUAGAAGACUUGAAUUUGAGUACUAGAUGCCCAAAUUACCAGUGCCCUGUAGAGAACCUAAACAAAUUAGGAGACCAACAAUGGCUGAUCUGUGAUCUUCUGAUCACAGAUUUCCUUAACGUAUGGAUAAACAAGCUUGAAGAAAAUAAUUGAAUGUGAAGACCUGAAAUCAUUGUCAGUACAUCUUCUAACGAGCUAUUACCAUAGUAAGCUGCUUUCGCAAUGAGACCACCUGCUCCAGGCAGACAGAUGGAGGCCCUAUGGGGGUCAUGGCUCCCCUUGUAAAGAAAGCUGGAGUCACAUACGUGCGCGAUUUUGGUAGAAAAAAAAAAGACUGAGGCAUUGACACUUCACAGAAGAUAGCUGUGACUUUGUUAAAGAAAUGUCAGCACUCUUGACUUCCUGACUUCCUCUCUUCCCUGUCGUUUUCGGGUUGGGCAGCCGCAUCCUUCCUUAAGUGCAUUUCACUAAGAAGAAUAGGAUGAGAAAUUAGCAUUCUCAGAGGCUCCGGCAAUCAUGCAGAUGGAAUAAGCUGAAAACGUUGUGUAACGAAAAUAAAACACAGAGCAGUUCUUCUAUUUGGAUCCAUACUCUCCUAAUAGCAAUCAUACAGUAGUGUUAGAUUCUGGAUUGAAGAUAGCGCUGAAGAGGGGGAAAAAGUGACGUUGAGAAAGAGGUUAGAUGGGAAACAAUGGGGCACACUGACUAGGAAUUCUAUUUUUAGGACAGUGUAUGUGUGAGCUAUACUAUGAGGAUAUUCUUGGGGAGACAUAAGGAAAAAAAUUCAUAAUUUUAGUUGAUUAAAAAUAUGCUCUGUCUUCUAGUACACAAAUUAACAAAAUUCACAAUAAAAU